GCCCCGGCUAACUACGUGCCAGCAGCCGCGGUAAUACGUAGGGGGCGAGCGUUGUCCGGAAUGAUUGGGCGUAAAGGGUACGUAGGCGGUCAGAAGGGUCUGUUGUAAAAGCCCGGGGCUCAACUCCGGGAGGCGAUGGAAACUAUCGGACUUGAGUGGUAGAAGGGACAGUGGAAUUCCUGGUGUAGUGGUGAAAUGCGCAGAGAUCAGGAAGAAUACCGGUGGCGAAAGCGACUGUCUGGAUACCAACUGACGCUGAGGUACGAAAGCGUGGGUAGCAAACAGGAUUAGAUACCCUGGUAGUCCACGCCGUAAACGAUGAGUGCUAGACGUCGGGUGUCAAAGCCCGGUGUCGCCGGUAACCCAGUAAGCACUCCGCCUGGGGAGUACGUACGCA
rnacentral:rRNA from 1 species